AGUGAACGCUGGCGGCGUGCUUAACACAUGCAAGUCGAACGAGAACGGAUUAUAGCUUGCUAUAAUUGUCAGCUAAGUGGCGCACGGGUGAGUAAUGUAUAGGUAAUAUGCCUCUUACUAAGGGAUAACAAUUGGAAACGUUUGCUAAUACCUUAUACUCCUUAUUACCAUAAGUUAAUAAGGGAAAGAUUUAUUGGUAAGAGAUUAGCCUGUAUUGUAUCAGUUAGUUGGUGGGGUAAUGGCUUACCAAGACUAUGACACAUAACUGGUUUGAGAGGAUGAUCAGUCACACUGGAACUGAGACACGGUCCAGACUCCUACGGGAGGCAGCAGUGGGGAAUAUUGCACAACGGACGAAAGUCUGAUGCAGCAACGCCGCGUGGAGGAUGACACAUUUCGGUGCGUAAACUCCUUUUAUAUGAGAAGAUAAUGACGGUAUUAUAUGAAUAAGCACCGGCUAACUCCGUGCCAGCCGCCGCAGUAA
rnacentral:rRNA from 1 species